rnacentral:rRNA from 1 species
UACAGAGGUCCCGAGCGUUGUUCGGAUUCACUGGGCGUAAAGGGUGCGUAGGUGGCGAGGUAAGUCGGAUGUGAAAGCUUGGAGCUCAACUCCGAAAUGGCAUUGGAAACUACCUUGCUCGAGGGUUGGAGGGGGGACUGGAAUGCUUGGUGUAGCAGUGAAAUGCGUAGAUAUCAAGCGGAACACCAGUGGCGAAGGCGAGUCCCUGGACCACUCCCGACACUGAGGCCCGAAAGCUAGGGGAGCAAACAGG